rfam:Camelus ferus unplaced genomic scaffold scaffold595, whole genome shotgun sequence.
AAAAAGGCUCUUUUCAGAGCCACCCACCAUUUCAGUUAAAAGUAGU